GGAGCCCUGUGCCCACAGGACAGAGCUGCCCUUGUGGGAGUAGGCCGGGGUGCCACCCGCCCUCGGCUGUGAGUGGGAGCUCUCAGUGGGCCGCUUCUGCAGGCUCAGCGUUCCCUCUCAGCCCCCGCCGGCCUGCAGCCUCCACCCGCUCCGUGCCCUCCCACUCCCCGGUGCCCCGGGCUGAUUGGAGGAAAGGAAACAAAACAAAACAAAACAAAGACUUGGCCAGAUUUCAGGCCUCAGUGCUGUUUGAUACCGAAUUACCCCGAAAACAGGCUCAAGUCAGAUUCCCUCUCCUGUCCCCGCAGGGAGCACGAGGGAAGGGAUGGCUCUGUGCCCUCCGUCCCUGCCCUGCGCCCGGUCUCUUCCCUGUGACCACAGGACUCCCAGCGCUGGGCCCUGUGGGCGCAGAGAGCCGGGGAGGAGGAGGCCUGGUGCUGGUGCUGAGGAAGGGCAGAGCCACGGGCGCGUUCGUCGGAGCAGGGCGACUCUUCGGGCUCCUCGCCAGUGCCCGGCAGGCCAGAGGGCCUGGGAGACUCGGGGGGGCGUAGAGGAAGAACACAGCCAGCCCACAAAGCAACGGAGAGGGCUCCCUGGGAGAGGGCGGCCGGCAUGAGUCAGCUCCUGGAAGGAGCCCCUCUCCAUAGCUGCGCCACCGCCGUGAGGAACUUCUACUUACUGACCACAGAGGAAUCGAUGCCUGCUCACCCUGGGAAUGGAAGCUCCACUAUCGCUGCAGCAACUCACCCAUCUCAUGGGAGCACUUCCUUGCCCACCCAUCACACGGGAGCACCGCUGGCUCACUGAUCGUGCAGGGGCACCAUCUUGUUCAGCGAUGGUGUUGGAGCUGCCUUUCCUCAGCGAGAAUCAGGAUUCAUCAGUCCUGGCAGCUCUGGUCUCUGCAUACUGGUUGCUGGGAAGGUUUUGAAAGACUCUUUGGUGGGAAGACUUCCUGAUCCGAGUCCAAACUGAAAAUGGAUACUCCAUUUGCAAAACAGUGACACUUCCAGUGGGGUAUCAUCAAACAUCUCCCAAGCAACAGCAGCCUGGAACAUUAUUGUUUAACCACUUCUUGCUCAACAUUGUGUGGGUUUCACUUACAGAAGGAUCUACGUGGUAAGUGAGGUAGGAGCAGGUCAGCACAAACAGAACUAUAAAUAUCUUGAUAGAGACAGGUGUAUGAAAUCGAACUCGGUGGGGAAAACAGACGUAGAUAAACAGCUGGAUAAGAACACAGGCUUGAACCUACUGAAAUACUAAGAUGAUAUAAAAGAUAAUAUUAAAGAAAAGUUA